rnacentral:rRNA from 1 species
UACGUAGGGUGCGAGCGUUAAUCGGAAUUACUGGGCGUAAAGCGUGCGCAGGCGGUUUUGUAAGCCAGAUGUGAAAUCCCCGGGCUUAACCUGGGAAUGGCAUUCGGGACUGCAAGGCUGGAGUGCGGCAGAGGAGACUGGAAUUCCUGGCGUAGCAGUGAAAUGCGUAGAUAUCAGGAGGAACACCGAUGGCGAAGGCAGGUCUCUGGGCUGACACUGACGCUCAUGCACGAAAGCGUGGGGAGCAAACAGG